rnacentral:rRNA from 1 species
GGACUACAGGGGUUUCUAAUCCUGUUUGCUCCCCGCACUUUCGCGCCUCAGCGUCAGUCAUCGGCUGGCAGUCCGCCUUCGCCACCGGUGUUCUUCCUGAUAUCUACAGAUUUCACCCCUACACCAGGAAUUCCGACUGCCCCUCCACGACUCAAGCCUGACAGUUUCCAGCGCAGCCCCGGGGUUAAGCCCCGAUAUUUCACGCCGGACUUGUUAGGCCGCCUACGCGCCCUUUACGCCCAAUAAUUCCGAACAACGCUCGCCCCUUACGUGUUACCGCGGCUGCUGGCAC